UACGUAGGGCGCAAGCGUUAUCCGGAAUUAUUGGGCGUAAAGAGCUCGUAGGCGGUUUGUCGCGUCUGCCGUGAAAGUCCGGGGCUCAACUCCGGAUCUGCGGUGGGUACGGGCAGACUAGAGUGAUGUAGGGGAGACUGGAAUUCCUGGUGUAGCGGUGAAAUGCGCAGAUAUCAGGAGGAACACCGAUGGCGAAGGCAGGUCUCUGGGCAUUUAACUGACGCUGAGGAGCGAAAAGCAUGGGGGAGC
rnacentral:rRNA from 1 species